UUAUACAAACACACCCCCUUCUCCUAGCCGUUGGUUCGACGACUGGAAGACCUAGCCCCAGCACGGCAUGCCGCACGGCGAUGGCCACACGACCCUCUCCUCUUCCCUGACCUGCUCCGCGGUAGACACACGAGGGCAGUCCGCGCCGCGCUGAUUUGUUUCCGCCCCAGAUUCCUUCUGGUACGCGAGGAGGAUCCUUAACGAGACGGUAUGUGCAAAAAUGACCUUGAGCCAGCAUUGUACCUGCACGCUCCAAUCUGGCAGACUGUUUCUGAUGAGAGGGUCUAGAACUCCAGAUUGGCCAAGUACAUGAGUGCUGUCAAUAGAAUGUUAAUCAAGUUACCAUUCCGCCAAAGAGAGGGAGGUGAGGGUAGCAGGCCGAAGCUACGGUAGCCCUGCAACUGGAGGUCAUUGAUGAGGGCCUAGAUUUGAAAGUCAUUGUAAUAGAUUGGAGAAGAACAUAUCAUGGAAUGUAAUUGUAUACACAUCCUUCCAAUCAGCACCUGUAGAAAAUACAGAAAUGUGAUGCUGCAGAGGUCAUGCUGUCUUGCCAGUUCCAUGAAUGAAAUACUAAGGAUGAGUUGGACACAGUGCAAAGAUGGAGGGGGAUACGAAUUUGGGCGAUGAGUGAGUGGAUUCUGCUCUGGAAGCGGGUGUGCUGAACCAACAGGAUAUAUAUGAAUGCCCCAUGGACCUUGUACAAUUUCGUGCUUAAGAUGUACUGCGAGAAAAGAAUCUUGAUUGGAGCAACUAAAUGGAAAACCCACACUACCAGUUACAGCUUUGGAAGGGAAACAAUUGCAAAGGCAAUGCAUCAAAUGAAACGCUUGAUGCCAAUGAUGAAUACUACUGUGCAUGAUAAUAGUAUGAACAGACAGCAGGAGUGAAGGGCUGAAGGAAGACGCAUGUAUGCGUACCGAGGGAGGUGCUUAAGCCGCCUACGAGAGACAGGGUGAGAGCAACAGCGACCUUGGGAUCCAUAUGAACAGACCGGCUUUCUGAUGGAGAUGUAUAUGAGCUUUAUAUACAGGCCAGGAUGGUGACUAUGACGU